AUUGAACGCUGGCGGCAGGCUUAACACAUGCAAGUCGAGCGGAGAUGAGGUGCUUGCACCUUAUCUUAGCGGCGGACGGGUGAGUAAUGCUUAGGAAUCUGCCUAUUAGUGGGGGACAACAUACCGAAAGGAAUGCUAAUACCGCAUACGUCCUACGGGAGAAAGCAGGGGAUCUUCGGACCUUGCGCUAAUAGAUGAGCCUAAGUCGGAUUAGCUAGUUGGUGGGGUAAAGGCCUACCAAGGCGACGAUCUGUAGCGGGUCUGAGAGGAUGAGCCGCCACACCGGGACUGAGACACGGCCCAGACUCCUACGGGAGGCAGCAGUGGGGAAUAUUGGACAAUGGGGGAACCCUGAUCCAGCCAUGCCGCGUGUGUGAAGAAGGCCUUAUGGUUGUAAAGCACUUUAAGCGAGGAGGAGGCUACUGAGACUAAUACUCUCGGAUAGUGGACGUUACUCGCAGAAUAAGCACCGGCUAACUCUGUGCCAGCCGCCGCUGUAA
rnacentral:rRNA from 1 species